rnacentral:tRNA from 1 species
GCCCUCGUAGCUCAGUUGAUAGAGCGUCACUCUUGUAAAGUGAAUGUCGUCGGUUUGAGUCCGACCAGCGGCUCCA